GACGAACGCUGGCGGCGUGCUUAACACAUGCAAGUCGAACGGAAAGGCCCUGCUUUUGUGGGGUGCUCGAGUGGCGAACGGGUGAGUAACACGUGAGUAACCUGCCCUUGAGUUUGGGAUAACUUCAGGAAACUGGGGCUAAUACCGGAUAGGAGCUCCUGCUGCAUGGGGGGGGUUGGAAAGUUUCGGCGGUGUUGGAUGGAUUCGCGGCUUAUCAGCUUGUUGGUGGGGUAGUGGCUUACCAAGGCUUUGACGGGUAGCCGGCCUGAGAGGGUGACCGGCCACAUUGGGACUGAGAUACGGUCCAGACUCCUACGGUAGGCAGCAGUGGGGAAUAUUGCAGAAUGGGCGGAAGCCUGAUGCAGCAACGCCGCGUGCGGGAUAACGGGCUUCGGGUUGUAAACCGCUGUCGACGGUGACGAAGCGUGCGUGACGGUAAUGGGUAAAGAAGCACCGGCUAACUACGUG
rnacentral:rRNA from 1 species